GCCAGCAGCCAUGUCACCCUGCAGCUCUCAACUGGUAACCCACUGAAGCCCAGCAGGUGUGAGCCUGGUCAGUACCUGGAGGGGAGACCUCCUGGGAAGCUAUGGCUGCUGCUGGAA
rfam:Lepisosteus oculatus linkage group LG13, whole genome shotgun sequence.